CCUACGGGGAGCAGCAGUGAGGAAUAUUGGUCAAUGGCCGGAAGGCUGAACCAGCCAAGUCGCGUGAGGGACGACUGCCCUAUGGGUUGUAAACCUCUUUUAUAAGGGAGGAAUAAAUGCUACGUGUAGCCUGAUGCCUGUACCUUAUGAAUAAGCAUCGGCUAACUCCGUGCCAGCAGCCGCGGUAAUACGGAGGAUGCGAGCGUUAUCCGGAUUUGUUGGGUUUAAAGGGUGCGUAGGCGGUUUUUUAAGUUAGUGGUUAAACGUCGGGGCUUCACCUUGAUUUGCCAUUAAUACUGUAAGACUCGAGUUCAGACGAGGUAGGCGGAAUAAGUUAAGUAGCGGUGAAAUGCUUAGAUAUAACUUAGAACUCCGAUAGCGAAGGCAGCUUACCGGACUGCGACUGACGCUGAAGCACGAGAGCGUGGGUAGCGAACAGGAUUAGAUACCCUUGUAGUC
rnacentral:rRNA from 1 species